rnacentral:rRNA from 1 species
GCUGAAGCAACAAAUGCCCUGCUUCCAGGAAAAGCCUCUAAGCAUCAGGUAACAUCAAAUCGUACCCCAAACCGACACAGGUGGUCAGGUAGAGAAUACCAAGGCGCUUGAGAGAACUCGGGUGAAGGAACUAGGCAAAAUGGUGCCGUAACUUCGGGAGAAGGCACGCUGACACGUAGGUGAAGUGAUUUACUCAUGGAGCUGAAGUCAGUCGAAGAUACCAGCUGGCUGCAACUGUUUAUUAAAAACACAGCACUGUGCAAACACGAAAGUGGACGUAUACGGUGUGACGCCUGCCCGGUGCCGGAAGGUUAAUUGAUGGGGUCAGCGCAAGCGAAGCUCCUGAUCGAAGCCCCGGUAAACGGCGGCCGUAACUAUAACGGUCCUAAGGUAGCGAAAUUCCUUGUCGGGUAAGUUCCGACCUGCACGAAUGGCGUAAUGAUGGCCAGGCUGUCUCCACCCGAGACUCAGUGAAAUUGAACUCGCUGUGAAGAUGCAGUGUACCCGCGGCAAGACGGAAAGACCCCGUGAACCUUUACUAUAGCUUGACACUGAACAUUGAGCCUUGAUGUGUAGGAUAGGUGGGAGGCUUUGAAGUGUGGACGCCAGUCUGCAUGGAGCCGACCUUGAAAUACCACCCUUUAAUGUUUGAUGUUCUAACGUGGACCCGUGAUCCGGGUUGCGGACAGUGUCUGGUGGGUAGUUUGACUGGGGCGGUCUCCUCCUAAAGAGUAACGGAGGAGCACGAAGGUUGGCUAAUCCUGGUCGGACAUCAGGAGGUUAGUGCAAUGGCAUAAGCCAGCUUGACUGCGAGCGUGACGGCGCGAGCAGGUGCGAAAGCAGGUCAUAGUGAUCCGGUGGUUCUGAAUGGAAGGGCCAUCGCUCAACGGAUAAAAGGUACUCCGGGGAUAACAGGCUGAUACCGCCCAAGAGUUCAUAUCGACGGCGGUGUUUGGCACCUCGAUGUCGGCUCAUCACAUCCUGGGGCUGAAGUAGGUCCCAAGGGUAUGGCUGUUCGCCAUUUAAAGUGGUACGCGAGCUGGGUUUAGAACGUCGUGAGACAGUUCGGUCCCUAUCUGCCGUGGGCGCUGGAGAACUGAGGGGGGCUGCUCCUAGUACGAGAGGACCGGAGUGGACGCAUCACUGGUGUUCGGGUUGUCAUGCCAAUGGCACUGCCCGGUAGCUAAAUGCGGAAGAGAUAAGUGCUGAAAGCAUCUAAGCACGAAACUUGCCCCGAGAUGAGUUCUCCCUGAGACUUUAGGUCUCCUGAAGGAACGUUGAAGACGACGACGUUGAUAGGCCGGGUGUG